rnacentral:rRNA from 1 species
GACGAGGGAUCCAAGCGUUGUUCGGAAUUAUUGGGCGUAAAGCGGAUGCAUGUGGCUCUGUUAGUCAGGGGUGAAAUCCUGGAGCUCAACUCCAGAACUGCCUUUGAUACUGGCGAUCUCGAGUCCGGGAGAGGUGAGUGGAACUGCGAGUGUAGAGGUGAAAUUCGUAGAUAUUCGCAAGAACACCAGUGGCGAAGGCGGCUCACUGGCCCGGUACUGACGCUGAGGUGCGAAAGCGUGGGGAGCAAACAGG